GUUGUUUUUGUUUCCUCAGUAAAAAUGUAUGACUGUCUUUACUUUGGGCUAUUGCACCCACCCUAUCCCUUUCUAGUGACACAAAUGAUGAAAACUCUUGAGGGCAUCCACGCCAUGGGGAUCCCAACUGCACCACCUCCUGCACCUCUGGACGGACAUGGGAGUUGGCCAUCAGCUACCACAACCACUCUGGGGGCAGAGAUUGUGGAAACAAAGGGGAAAGGAAAGGACUGUCUGCUAAGUUCCUACUGGACUAGGUAUUGCCAUCUCGUUUUAUACCUUGCAUUGUAUUUAGUCUUUUUACAAUAUGCUUACAGUUAGACUAUACUCAUAUUAUAGAUAAUGAAAUUCAAAAUCAGGCAGGUGUGUGUGAUAUUAAAGCCUAUUGCAUGAAGCCAUUAGUUUAGGCUCAUGAAUGUUUAUGUUCCCCUAAUAUUCAAAUGUUGAAGUCCUAAUGGUAUUUGAAAAUGGAGACACUGGGGAGCAAUUAAGAUUUAGAUGAGGUCAUGAUGGGAUUCUUACCCUUCUAAGAAAACCUCUUUUCUCCCCUGCCACCUCCUCGCCAUCUCCUCCGUCUCAUGCUCCCACAAGACAUCAUGUGGCCACACAUGAGAAGACAGCAUCUACAUCUCAAUGGAGGGAAGCAGUUGCCAAAAACCAACCACCACCUUGGUACCCUGAUCUCUGCCUUCCAGUCUCCAGGCUGAGAAGAAAUACAUUUCUGUUGUUUGAGCCAUCUACUCUUUUGUAUUUUGUUAUGUCAGACCCAGGGGAUUUUCAUAGCAUUAUAAAGAGUUACAAAUAAUCUGUGGGAGUGGAAUUCUAUUUCUCCAAAUGUAGAAUAUGGUAGAGAGUAGCCAAAAAAUGCAGAAGAAAUUUUUUUUAAUAAUUUUGUUUUAAUUCAUUGAUUUGAUGCCGAGAAAUUAAGAGAAAUCCUUAGAUACUAGAAAUCUUAAAGGGAGACUCCAGAGAGGUAUGAAAGCACUGAAGCAGGCAUUUUGCCUUUGGUAUAUGCCAAUUGUUGAUGGUCUAGAGAAGAAUUUAAACUGAGUAAAAAAGGUGAGUGUACACCUGGGUCCGUCCAAGGAGAAAAGUCAGAUCAGAGAUUCAAAAAUAAAUCCAAUACCCUAAAAAGGAAAUACCUACAGAAGUUAAUCUUAACACACGCAUGCGCACGUGCGUGCACACACACACACACACACACACACAGAGAAUGCAUACUACCUGUGUAUUCUUUACCUCCCAAACCCAACACGAACACAAACUAGAAAUUGACUUUAAAGCAGUUCUGAGUCAAGCCUUAACCUGUGUAGCUGUCACCACAGUUUAGCAUUUCAAUCCUUGGCAAGCUGAUAAAGGCAGAGAACUAUGCUUGGGCACUUGAGAGAAUGAGAGUGAAGAAAAGGCAGAAUGGAGAUGAAAAUGAAUGAUCUCAGUAAUAUGCCAGAUACUCUAUGCUCACAAUUCUAUUUAAUUCUCACACCCACCUGUGAGAUAAGUAGUGCCUUCUCCAUUGGAGAGGUUAGGUCCCUGACAAUCAGAGAGGGUAGGUAACUUGCUAAGGUCCACACAGCAAUAGCAUGGUGGAGCUACAGUGGGAACCCAGUUCUGUGGCUUCCCAAGACUUUUAUUUAUCUAGAGAAAAAACCAUGCCUUAUGAUACAGCUAUAAUGUAUACACUAAAGCUUGAUGAAUGAAGAGUGUAUAUUUCACACAGAUAUCAUUAAGAUCUAAGUGGGCUUUUGUUUGUUUAUUUAACUGCCGUAUUGUCCUCAGGCAACACUGGAAAAAUCUUUUAAAAUUCCAGGUCCUCAGGAGGUCAUUUUAGUGGUCCUGGAAAUUAUAAAACAAAUUGUUGUGAACAGGCUUUUUAAAUUGUUUCUUGGAAGGAAUAGAAUAAUCAAGUGCAAUGAAUUUAACUGAUUACAGAAGAAUGUUCUUUGAGCUGAUGCAGCAACCGUUUUUGGUCUGUUUGUGGCUUAAAAUGUGAAUUGAUGCAAUGACCGUCCUGUUAGGGUUUUCCUACUGGAAAAGUCUCUGUGAGAAAAGCUGGAAAUAUUUAAAGUAAACUGAAUUGCUUCUUAAGGGUACCUUCCAAGAGUGUAAAAGUGACCGUCUGUCAGUAGCAUCCUGCUUAACUCUACUUUUAUUCUUUUAUUCUUUUCUCUCAGUAUUAGAAUUUGGUCUUAGCUCUGCUACUAACUACAGCCGACCCUUGAACAAGGAAACGCAGGGGGGUAGCGGCACCAAACCUCAAGCAGUGGAAAAUUCACGUAUAAUUUAUCGGCCCUCCACAUCCAUGGUUCCUCUGUAUCAGAUUUUACAUCUGCACAUUCAACCAACUGCAGGGCAGGCAGUACUGUAAUAUUUACUAUUGAAAAAAUACUCAUAUAAGUGGAUACACAGUUCAAAUUCAUGUUGUUCAAGGGUCAAUUGUAGUUGCAUGGGCUUGGUCAAGUUGUAGAACCUCCUCCCUCAGUCUUCUCCUUUCUAAAAUGAAGGAAAUAAUAAUACCUACUAUGUCAUGUAAUGUUGUAAUGAUUUGAAGAAGUUGAUAUCUCAAUAUAUUGCCUGGAAUAAGGCGGGUGGUCAAUAAAUAUUAAUUGCUUUUGCUUUUUUUAGAGCCACAUCAGCAGCAUAUGGAAGUUCCCAGGCUAGAGGUUGAAUCGGAGCCAUAGCUUCUGGCCCACACCACAGCCAGAGCAAUGCCAGAUCCAAGCUGCAUCUGAGAACUACACAGAAGCUUAUGGCAACAUUGGAUCCCUGCCUCACUGAGUGAGGCCAGGGAUGGAACCCACAUCCUCAUGGAUACUAGUCAGAUUCAUUUCCACUGUACCACAACAAGAAUUCCUAAUUGGUAUAUUUAUUAAUGGUAAAAAUAAUUUUAAUAUCUUGGACAUGAUAAUAACAUCUGACAUUACUGAAAUUUUGUGGAUAUAACCAUUGGAGUGGCUGUUGGUAAUUCUUUGGGAUGUAUAGAGAAUGAAAGAAACUAGAAAAACUGAAGAUAAGGAAAAAAGGGAUACAGGAAACUAUAUUCUGGCACCAUGGAUGUGUAUAUCCAGAAAAUAUCUAGAGCAGUGACUGAGUCUCAUAUGCCAUUUGUCUAUUCCAUGUUCCAGUCUGACCAGGUGGGAGCCCAACCUCCUAUUUUAGGUUGGUUUAGGCUGCCAUAACAAACGGUGUGGCAUAAACAAUAGAAAUGUGUUGCCUCACAUUUCUAGAGGCCAGACGUACAAAUUCAAAGUGUGGAUAGGGUUAGUUCCUUCUAAGGGCUGUGAGUGAAGGGCCUGUCCCAGGACCCUCUCCUUGGCACCUAGAUGACUGCCUUCAUGUUCGCAAGGGGUUCUCUCUGCUCCUUCACAUUGUCUUCCCCCCGCCCCGUGCAUGUGUCUGUGUACAGAUUUCCCAUUUUUAUAAGGACACUGUCAUAUUGGAUUAUGAUUAGCCCUAAAAACCUCAUUUCAGGCAGCCCUGGUUACCUCUAUAAAGACUCUAUCUCCCAAUAAGACAGUAUUUUUGAAGAACUAGAGAGUAGGAUUUCAAUGUUAAUUUGAGGUAGACAUAAUUCAACCCAGAACACUCUGCCCUUGGCUCCCCAUGUUCUUAUCAGAUGCAAAUAUAGUCGUCACACCCAACAUCCCCUCAAUCUUGGUCCAUUCCAACAUCAACUCUAAGUCCAAAAUCUCAUGUAAUAACAUCUAAAUCAGGUAACGGUGAAACACAAGGUAUGAUACAUCCUGAGGCAAAGUUCCUCUCCAGCUGUGAACCUGUGAGGCAAACACCAAGUUAUGGGCAGGGGUCAGAGAAUACAUGUACAAAUAUUAAUAGGGACAAACAUUGGCCCAUAGGGAGUCACAUGGUCUUAUUUUUAGGUUGGAUUUGGGGAAGAACAUGGAUAUCUUACUUUUUUUCCUCCAAGACAUUCAUCACAAACUUUCAAGGUAGGAGGAAAAAAGAGAGAUACAAGGAAUAUACACUGAAAAGCUUGAUGUGUAUAUCUGGAACAAUCUUCCUGCUAUGGAAUGUGGAAUCUCAAAAAAAGUGAAUCACCAAUCAAAGGCUAGAUGACAAAACUAUGGACCGCUAGUAGGUACAGGGUAUUUUUUCGCAUUGAGUAGAAAUGAUCAUGUAAUUGUAAAGUACCUAAAACCUCAAAAUCUUACUCAUAGCCUUUCUUUCUAAACAACGCAAUUUCUAACAGAAAGCACCAAAACUACCUAAUAUACAAUUUUGCCCACAUAAUCACCCUGAAAGCAUUUAUGUAAUCAAAAGCAACCUCUGGGAAUGGAAACUGGAAUCUAGAAGUGAAACUCAAGAAAGAUUUCAUCAUUGCACAAUUUCAAAUUAAGCACUAAUCAGAGGGGAAAAUUAGGUUUAUUCACAGGGGCCACUCAAAAUAACCCUCUUAAUAAUGUGGAAAUUGGCUGUAGCUAAAGCCCCACAAGUCUAGACACAAAUACAUUUAAAAUACAGCAAAGCCAGUCAAUAUAAAAUGUAGCAAAUACAAGAAGUCAAUGUAAAAUAGAUUUCCCAGAUAUGAGGAACAUGGUUCCAGGAUUGUAAGCAAACUGCUCAGGAAAAAAAAAAAUAGCAGAAUUUUAAACUUACAAGAAAUGUCUUGCUUUUAUUAGUAUCCUGGUCUUAACAUGUCAUUUCACAUUCCCCUUCUACUCAUCAAGACAGAGGCUGACCAAAACAAAAGGGUCACUAGGAACUGAGGACACAUUUGUCAAGCUGAAAAAAAGAAAAUGAGAGAGAGAGAGAGAAAAGCAAUCAGACAUAAAGAGAAAAAGAAGACACAAAAUACUAGCCAGUCUAUAGAGGGUAUUGUUAAACUCGCUUGGAGUUGAAUUCAGAUAGACUGGAAAAGUAUAAACAGAAUUAACAGACUUCCCCCCACCAACAAUUGCAGCAGGAUCGAGCCAGUUUUGAGAACAGCAUCUGUGGCUGACUCAGGCGCAAGUUUUCUGGUAAGAGGGCGUGGCUUCCUGGGAAUAGGGAGCCAGAGGCAGAGCUGCAACUAAGAUCACUGUGAGUAACAUUCUCACUCUAAACAUGGGUAUUAGGACUUUUUUUUUUUUUUUUCCAUUUUUAUCUUCCUUCCCCUUCCCCACCAUCUCUUUUUUCACUCCUUUGCCUUCUCUUCAUGCUUCCCUGGCUUAAGACCCUUGUACCAACAUUGUUUAUUCCUGCAUAUGGCCAAAGAGUUGC
rnacentral:lncRNA from 1 species